GCUUGAGUGGCUCAGUUGGUUAGAGCGUCGGUCUCAUACUAAGCGUCAGUGUGAGUGAGCUUUGGUUCACGUAAUCCGAAGAUCAUGGGUUCGACUCCCUUCUCGAGCA